AUUGAACGCUGGCGGCAGGCCUAACACAUGCAAGUCGAGCGGAUGAGAGGAGCUUGCUCCUUGAUUUAGCGGCGGACGGGUGAGUAAUGCCUAGGAAUCUGCCUGGUAGUGGGGGAUAACGUCCGGAAACGGGCGCUAAUACCGCAUACGUCCUACGGGAGAAAGCAGGGGACCUUCGGGCCUUGUGCUAUCAGAUGAGCCUAGGUCGGAUUAGCUAGUUGGUGAGGUAAUGGCUCACCAAGGCUACGAUCCGUAACUGGUCUGAGAGGAUGAUCAGUCACACUGGAACUGGGACACGGUCCAGACUCCUACGGGAGGCAGCAGUGGGGAAUAUUGGACAAUGGGCGAAAGCCUGAUCCAGCCAUGCCGCGUGUGUGAAGAAGGUCUUCGGAUUGUAAAGCACUUUAAGUUGGGAGGAAGGGCAGUAAAUUAAUACUUUGCUGUUUUGACGUUACCGACAGAAUAAGCACCGGCUAACUUCGUGCCAGCCGCCGCGGUAAAAC
rnacentral:rRNA from 1 species